AUACGUAGGGAGCGAGCGUUGUCCGGAAUUACUGGGCGUAAAGGGCGCGUAGGCGGCGCUUCAAGUCGUCUGUCAAAUGGGAGGGCUUAACCCUUUUUCGCAGACGAAACUGGAGAGCUUGAGAAGCAGAGAGGCAAACAGAAUUCCUGGUGUAGCGGUGAAAUGCGUAGAUAUCAGGAAGAAUACCAGUGGCGAAGGCGGUUUGCUGGCUGCAUACUGACGCUGAAGCGCGAAAGCCAGGGGAGCGAACGGGAUUAGAUACCCCGGUAGUCCUGGCAGUAAACGAUGUAUGCUGGGUGUGAGACUAGCGAUAGUUUCGUGCCGAAGUUAACGCGAUAAGCAUACCGCCUGGGGAGUACGGUCGCAAGAUUGAAACUCAAAUGAAUUGACGGGG
rnacentral:rRNA from 1 species